AGAGUUUGAUUCUGGCUCAGGAUGAACGCUAGCGGCAGGCCUAACACAUGCAAGUCGAGGGGCAGCACGGUGUAGCAAUACACUGGUGGCGACCGGCGCACGGGUGCGUAACGCGUAUGCAACCUACCCAUAACAGGGGGAUAACACUGAGAAAUUGGUACUAAUACCCCAUAACAUCGGGACCGGCAUCGGUUCUGGUUGAAAACUCCGGUGGUUAUGGAUGGGCAUGCGUUGUAUUAGCUGGUUGGUGAGGUAACGGCUCACCAAGGCAACGAUACAUAGGGGACUGAGAGGUUAACCCCCCACAUUGGUACUGAGACACGGACCAAACUCCUACGGGAGGCAGCAGUGAGGAAUAUUGGUCAAUGGACGCAAGUCUGAACCAGCCAUGCCGCGUGCAGGAAGACGGCUCUAUGAGUUGUAAACUGCUUUUGUACGAGGGUAAACGCUCUUACGCGUAAGAGCCUGAAAGUAUCGUACGAAUAAGGAUCGGCUAACUCCGUGCCAGCCGCAGC
rnacentral:rRNA from 1 species